UACAGAGGUCUCGAGCGUUGUUCGGAUUCAUUGGGCGUAAAGGGUGCGUAGGUGGCACUGUAAGUCGGGUGUGAAAUCCUGAGGCUUAACCUCGGAUCUGCAUUCGAUACUGCGGUGCUUGAGGACUGGAGAGGAGACUGGAAUUCAUGGUGUAGCAGUGAAAUGCGUAGAGAUCAUGAGGAAGACCAGUGGCGAAGGCGGGUCUCUGGACAGUUCCUGACACUGAGGCACGAAGGCCAGGGGAGCAAACGGG
rnacentral:rRNA from 1 species